rnacentral:rRNA from 1 species
UACGGGGGGGCAAGCGUUGUUCGGAAUUACUGGGCGUAAAGGGCGCGUAGGCGGUUCGCUAAGUUGGAUGUGAAAACUCUGGGCUCAACCCAGAGCCUGCAUCCAAAACUGGCGGGCUAGAGUUCUGGAGGGGUAGCGGAAUUCCGUGGUGUAGCGGUGAAAUGACGCAGAUAUCAGGAGGAACACCGGUGGCGAAGGCGGGUCUCUGGGCCGAUACUGACGCUGAGGAGCGAAAGCGUGGGGAGCGAACAGG